CCCUUAGAUGUUCUGGGCUGCACGCGCGCUACACUGACGAAUGCAACGAGCUUAUAACCUUGGCCGAAAGGUCUGGGUAAUCUCCAAAUUUCGUCGUGAUGGGGAUAGAUUAUUGCAAUUAUUAAUCUUCAACGAGGAAUGCCUAGUAAGCGCAAGUCAUCAGCUUGCGUUGAUUACGUCCCUGCCCUUUGUACACACCGCCCGUCGCUCCUACCGAUUGAAUGGUCCGGUGAAGCCUCCGGAUUGCACAGGCCCCGUGUCUGGCGCGAGAAGUUGGCUAAACCUUACCAUUUAGAGGAAGGUGAAGUCGUAACA
rnacentral:rRNA from 1 species